rnacentral:rRNA from 1 species
GUUAAGCGACUAAGCGUACACGGUGGAUGCCCUGGCAGUCAGAGGCGAUGAAGGACGUGCUAAUCUGCGAUAAGCGUCGGUAAGGUGAUAUGAACCGUUAUAACCGGCGAUUUCCGAAUGGGGAAACCCAGUGUGUUUCGACACACUAUCAUUAACUGAAUCCAUAGGUUAAUGAGGCGAACCGGGGGAACUGAAACAUCUAAGUACCCCGAGGAAAAGAAAUCAACCGAGAUUCCCCCAGUAGCGGCGAGCGAACGGGGAGCAGCCCAGAGUCUGAAUCAGUGUGUGUGUUAGUGGAAGCGUCUGGAAAGGCGCGCGAUACAGGGUGACAGCCCCGUACACAAAAAUGCACAUACUGUGAGCUCGAUGAGUAGGGCGGGACACGUGGUAUCCUGUCUGAAUAUGGGGGGACCAUCCUCCAAGGCUAAAUACUCCUGACUGACCGAUAGUGAACCAGUACCGUGAGGGAAAGGCGAAAAGAACCCCGGCGAGGGGAGUGAAAAAGAACCUGAAACCGUGUACGUACAAGCAGUGGGAGCACGCUUAGGCGUGUGACUGCGUACCUUUUGUAUAAUGGGUCAGCGACUUAUAUUCUGUAGCAAGGUUAACCGAAUAGGGGAGCCGAAGGGAAACCGAGUCUUAACUGGGCGUUAAGUUGCAGGGUAUAGACCCGAAACCCGGUGAUCUAGCCAUGGGCAGGUUGAAGGUUGGGUAACACUAACUGGAGGACCGAACCGACUAAUGUUGAAAAAUUAGCGGAUGACUUGUGGCUGGGGGUGAAAGGCCAAUCAAACCGGGAGAUAGCUGGUUCUCCCCGAAAGCUAUUUAGGUAGCGCCUCGUGAAUUCAUCUCCGGGGGUAGAGCACUGUUUCGGCAAGGGGGUCAUCCCGACUUACCAACCCGAUGCAAACUGCGAAUACCGGAGAAUGUUAUCACGGGAGACACACGGCGGGUGCUAACGUCCGUCGUGAAGAGGGAAACAACCCAGACCGCCAGCUAAGGUCCCAAAGUCAUGGUUAAGUGGGAAACGAUGUGGGAAGGCCCAGACAGCCAGGAUGUUGGCUUAGAAGCAGCCAUCAUUUAAAGAAAGCGUAAUAGCUCACUGGUCGAGUCGGCCUGCGCGGAAGAUGUAACGGGGCUAAACCAUGCACCGAAGCUGCGGCAGCGACGCUUAUGCGUUGUUGGGUAGGGGAGCGUUCUGUAAGCCUGUGAAGGUGUGCUGUGAGGCAUGCUGGAGGUAUCAGAAGUGCGAAUGCUGACAUAAGUAACGAUAAAGCGGGUGAAAAGCCCGCUCGCCGGAAGACCAAGGGUUCCUGUCCAACGUUAAUCGGGGCAGGGUGAGUCGACCCCUAAGGCGAGGCCGAAAGGCGUAGUCGAUGGGAAACAGGUUAAUAUUCCUGUACUUGGUGUUACUGCGAAGGGGGGACGGAGAAGGCUAUGUUGGCCGGGCGACGGUUGUCCCGGUUUAAGCGUGUAGGCUGGUUUUCCAGGCAAAUCCGGAAAAUCAAGGCUGAGGCGUGAUGACGAGGCACUACGGUGCUGAAGCAACAAAUGCCCUGCUUCCAGGAAAAGCCUCUAAGCAUCAGGUAACAUCAAAUCGUACCCCAAACCGACACAGGUGGUCAGGUAGAGAAUACCAAGGCGCUUGAGAGAACUCGGGUGAAGGAACUAGGCAAAAUGGUGCCGUAACUUCGGGAGAAGGCACGCUGAUAUGUAGGUGAAGCGACUUGCUCGUGGAGCUGAAAUCAGUCGAAGAUACCAGCUGGCUGCAACUGUUUAUUAAAAACACAGCACUGUGCAAACACGAAAGUGGACGUAUACGGUGUGACGCCUGCCCGGUGCCGGAAGGUUAAUUGAUGGGGUCAGCGCAAGCGAAGCUCUUGAUCGAAGCCCCGGUAAACGGCGGCCGUAACUAUAACGGUCCUAAGGUAGCGAAAUUCCUUGUCGGGUAAGUUCCGACCUGCACGAAUGGCGUAAUGAUGGCCAGGCUGUCUCCACCCGAGACUCAGUGAAAUUGAACUCGCUGUGAAGAUGCAGUGUACCCGCGGCAAGACGGAAAGACCCCGUGAACCUUUACUAUAGCUUGACACUGAACAUUGAGCCUUGAUGUGUAGGAUAGGUGGGAGGCUUUGAAGUGUGGACGCCAGUCUGCAUGGAGCCGGCCUUGAAAUACCACCCUUUAAUGUUUGAUGUUCUAACGUGGACCCGUAAUCCGGGUUGCGGACAGUGUCUGGUGGGUAGUUUGACUGGGGCGGUCUCCUCCUAAAGAGUAACGGAGGAGCACGAAGGUUGGCUAAUCCUGGUCGGACAUCAGGAGGUUAGUGCAAUGGCAUAAGCCAGCUUGACUGCGAGCGUGACGGCGCGAGCAGGUGCGAAAGCAGGUCAUAGUGAUCCGGUGGUUCUGAAUGGAAGGGCCAUCGCUCAACGGAUAAAAGGUACUCCGGGGAUAACAGGCUGAUACCGCCCAAGAGUUCAUAUCGACGGCGGUGUUUGGCACCUCGAUGUCGGCUCAUCACAUCCUGGGGCUGAAGUAGGUCCCAAGGGUAUGGCUGUUCGCCAUUUAAAGUGGUACGCGAGCUGGGUUUAGAACGUCGUGAGACAGUUCGGUCCCUAUCUGCCGUGGGCGCUGGAGAACUGAGGGGGGCUGCUCCUAGUACGAGAGGACCGGAGUGGACGCAUCACUGGUGUUCGGGUUGUCAUGCCAAUGGCACUGCCCGGUAGCUAAAUGCGGAAGAGAUAAGUGCUGAAAGCAUCUAAGCACGAAACUUGCCCCGAGAUGAGUUCUCCCUGACUCCUUGAGAGUCCUGAAGGAACGUUGAAGACGACGACGUUGAUAGGCCGGGUGUGUAAGCGCAGCGAUGCGUUGAGCUAACCGGUACUAAUGAACCGUGAGGCUUAACCUUACAACGCCGAAG